rnacentral:rRNA from 1 species
GACAGAGGUGCCGAGCGUUAGGCGGAAUCACUGGGCUUAAAGCGUGUGUAGGCGGGCCGUUAAGUAUCUUGUGAAAUCCCCCGGCUCAACCGGGGAAUGGCUGGAUAUACUGGCGGUCUUGAGCGAUCUAGGGGCAGAUGGAACAAGUGGUGGAGCGGUGAAAUGCGUAGAUAUCUGGAGGAACACCGGUGGCGAAGGCGGCAUCCUGGACCGGUAUUGACGCUGAGGCGCGAAAGCCAGGGGAGCAAAGCGGG